rnacentral:rRNA from 1 species
CCUACGGGAGGCAGCAGUGGGGAAUAUUGCACAAUGGGCGCAAGCCUGAUGCAGCGACGCCGCGUGAGCGAUGAAGGCCUUCGGGUCGUAAAGCUCUGUCCUAAGGGAAGAAUAAUGACGGUACCUUAGGAGGAAGCCCCGGCUAACUACGUGCCAGCAGCCGCGGUAAUACGUAGGGGGCGAGCGUUAUCCGGAAUCACUGGGCGUAAAGGGGGCGUAGGCGGCCCUGCAAGUCAGGAGUUAAAUCCCUCGGCUCAACCGAGGUCAGCUCUUGAAACUGUAGGGCUAGAGUGCAGGAGGGGAAAGCGGAAUUCCCAGGGUAGCGGUGAAAUGCGUAGAGAUUGGGAGGAACACCAGUGGCGAAGGCGGCUUUCUGGACUGUAACUGACGCUGAGGCACGAAAGCGUGGGGAGCAAACAGGAUUAGAUACCCUUGUAGUC